CACUGAAAUCAGGAUUUACAGCAGUUUCACCAAAGAAUUGGAGCCUUUUAUUCUUAAUGAGAAAGGGAUUGUUAAAUGGUAUUCUUGUGGUCCAACUGUAUAUGAUAAAGCCCACAUUGGUCACGCAUGAACCAUAGCUCACAGUCGGAGCGUCUAGUACAAUUGAGGACACCGCAUCAAGAACAGCCCAUAGGUGUAUAGGUCGUGUAUAGGCUUAUAGGCCAAAAAAAGGUGUGUAACAUAUACUCGAAGCAAAGCAAUAAAUGAAAGAAGUUAACACUGGAAAAGAUAUUGGUACCGCAUACAAAUAAAAUCCUGACCAAACCAACACGACUUUCGGUGAGAAUACUUCCAGAAUCUCUGCAGCGAAAGUAUUACUUUGAAAGCAAAUAAGAUUACUAUGAUCAUAGAUACUACUAAUUCGCAAGAUGAUUGCCAUCAGGGAAA